UGCAAGUCGAACGAAGCGCUUAAACGGAUUUCUUCGGAUUGAAGUUUUUGCGACUGAGUGGCGGACGGGUGAGUAACGCGUGGGUAACCUGCCUCGUACAGGGGGAUAACAGUUAGAAAUGACUGCUAAUACCGCAUAAGCGCACAGUGCUGCAUGGCACAGUGUGAAAAACUCCGGUGGUAUGAGAUGGACCCGCGUCUGAUUAGCUAGUUGGUGGGGUAACGGCCUACCAAGGCGACGAUCAGUAGCCGGCCUGAGAGGGUGAACGGUCACAUUGGGACUGAGACACGGCCCAAACUCCUACGGGAGGCAGCAGUGGGGAAUAUUGCACAAUGGGGGAAACCCUGACGCAGCGACGCCGCGUGAGCGAAGAAGUAUUUCGGUAUGUAAAGCUCUAUCAGCAGGGAAGAAAAUGACGGUACCUGACUAAGAAGCACCGGCUAAAUACGUGCCAGCAGCCGCGGUAAUACGUAUGGUGCAAGCGUUAUUCGGAUUUACUGGGUGUAAAGGGAGCGUAGACGGUUGUGUAAGUCUGAUGUGAAAGCCCGGGGCUCAACCCCGGGACUGCAUUGGAAACUAUGUAACUAGAGUGUCGGAGAGGUAAGCGGAAUUCCUAGUGUAGCGGUGAAAUGCGUAGAUAUUA
rnacentral:rRNA from 1 species